rnacentral:rRNA from 1 species
GCAUAUCAAUAAGCGGAGGAAAAGAAACUAACAAGGGUUCCCCUAGUAACGGCGAGUGAAGCGGGAAGAGCACAAAUUUAAAAUCUACCUGGUUUCCAGGUCGAGUUGUAAUUUGAAGAUACGUUUUUGAUGUUCCUGGUUGGACUAAAUCCUUUGGGAUAAGGUAUCAUAGAGGGUGAGAAUCCCGUAUAUACCAACCGUAGGGAUGUUAUUAAAUACGUUUCUAAGAGUCGAGUUGUUUGGGAAUGCAGCUCUAAAUGGGUGGUAAAUUUCACCUAAUGCUAAAUAUAAGCGAGAGACCGAUAGCGAACAAGUACAGUGAUGGAAAGAUGAAAAGAACUUUGAAAAGAGAGUUAAAUAGUACGUGAAAUUGUUGAAAGGGAAACGAUUGAAGUCAGUCAUGCCGGUGGGAAUCAACUUAGGGGAAACUCUGGGUGCACUUCUUCGUUUGGCAGGUUAGUGUCGAUUUUGGAUGUCAUAAAAUAAUUGGGGGAAGGUAGCUCCUUCGGGAGUGUUAUAGCCCUUGAUAGAUGUGAUGUUUGGGGUCGAGGAUUGCAACGGAUACCCUUUGGGGCUAGCCGCCUGAUCUCUAAUCGGUGUUGGGUUACGGAUAGCAUGCUGACCGUGAUCUAAUUACUGGUUAAAAGGUUAGAGCGUGCAUAAAUUCGUUAAGGACGUUGACGUAAUGGCUUUAAACGAC